rfam:Heterocephalus glaber contig59612, whole genome shotgun sequence.
GGCAGAAGGGUAGGCCAGGGCUACUGAGAAAUAUUAACUAGCUGUAGAAUAUUUCUGUCCCAAGACAAGACUUUACAAGUUGUUUUUAUUUUUUGUCAUCUCUACUUCUUUCUAUGUUAAGUUUCUCAGGAUUUCUCCAAGUUACUUUGCUUCUAAGACCCUGUAAGACUCAAGCCCUUCCACAAAGAUAGUCCUCUUAUAAGAUCAACAAC